rnacentral:sRNA from 12 species
GACCUAAACCAGCAAUGGCAUGGUCUAAAAUCCAUUUGACACAACAAGCUCGUCGCAGAGCACUGUGUCAAAUGGUCAUAGUCCGAAAGGAUUGUGGGUGGCUUCGGCUAUC